CUUAGGAAAAUUUCUGAACAAACAAACAAAACAAAGAAACAUGAUUUCCAGGGUGGAGCUCUCUCUGAGGGUCUUUCUACCAGACUAUGGGUGAGGAAACUAAGGCCCAGAUGGGUUGGAUCCUCCAGUGGUGGAAACACAGGCAGUACCGAAGGGUUGUACCAAACUUGCUGAGAAGCCACUCGUGGUCACACCACAUUGUUCAGUGGAGGGACCCAGCAUGGCCUUCAUCUGGGUUUCCUGUGAGUUCCACUUCAGCACCAGCUGCAGCCUCAAACUACCACAAGGUACAGUCUGGAAGAACUGAC